rnacentral:lncRNA from 1 species
GCGCUCUGGUUUUCUCUCUUUGCGCCGCUGUUCAGGCGCCUCGCCUCUCCUAUCCUUGUCUUGCCCUGUGUCCCUUCGUCGCCUCGGCGCGCUCGCCCUUCGUUCAUCGGGCUUCCGCGCGCUCGCGUUUUUCAUUAUUCCUUCUCUGUACCCCGUUUCGAUUUCGAGCGGGGUCAGUUUCUUCUUCACCGGUUGAUUUGUUCUGCUGCUUUGCGUCUCCGUGCUCUCGCAGAUCCCUUGUAGCCGCUUUGCCUCCGCGCGACGCCGGGAGCGAGCCGAGUUUGGUUUGGCCGGGUUGUUCGGUUUGCGGUUUACUCUUUCUGCGAUUAUAGUUUUCUGGUGGAUCCUGUUUUGUUCUCGACUUCUCAGCGUGUGGGUUGCAGGAUUGGGUCCGAUUCGGUGUUGGGAUUUGUUCGUCAUGGCGUCUUGUGGCGAGGAGGUGCAGGCAGGUCAGUCUUCUGUCAGAUCCGGCGGUUCAUUGGUUUUGUCACUGGACAUGGAUUCGGUGGUUUCAGGCUCCAAUGUCUUCUGGUGUGGUACCAUCAGAAUCAGAUAGCGUCGUCGUAGUUUGCACACCAGGACCAGUGGCGAAGGAGUUUUGGAAGUAGAUGGAGGCGUUAACUGGACUGAUGUUCAUAGAUGGAUCCGCUUUUUCGGGAGAUUACUUUCUAUACUCUCCAUUUCGAUUUUGAGUCGGGUCGGUAUCUUCCCUUGUUGAUUAGUUCCGCUGCUUUGCGCCUCCGUGCUCGCAGAUACCUUGGGCUGUUUCGCCUCUGCGCGACGACGUGAGGCGGGAGCGUGACGAGUUUGGUUUGGCUGGGCUGUUCGGUUUGCGGUUUGGGUACGAUCCGGUAUUGGGAAUUCGUCGUGGCGUCGGGUGGCGAGGAGUUGGGAGGCAGGCUCAAAUGUCUCCGGGUGUGGUACCAUCAGAAUCAGAUAGUGUCGUCGGAGCCUGCACAUCAGAAGCAGAAGGAAGGGUCCUUGCUGGUUAUGGAGAGAUUAGUUGAAUGUUGGAGGGGCAACAGAGCUUUGGAAGUAGAUUGAGGCGUUGGCUGGACUGAUGCCCAUAGUACCGGGUGAAGAUUGUCAGGAUAUAUCUACCCAAAUCGCUGUUCUAUUGGUUCAUACUCAUUUUUUGUCCGCUGCAGUUAUUAAUUUCUUAUAUUGGGGCUGGUUGUCCAUCUUAUUGGGAUAAGAUCGUUCAAAUAUAUCUACCCAAAUCGCUCUUCUAUUGGUUCAUACUCAUAUUUUGUCUGCUGCAACUAUUAAUUUCUUAUAUUGGGGCUGGUGGCUUUUUCCAGCAGUUCAGUUAUAUGGAUGGAUGGAUGAAUGGGUUGUAGGCGAGUUUGGUCCUGCUUAUGCUUGUGCAAUCAGGAGUUCGGAAUUGUUCAAGUUCCUUGUGGACAACAGAGUUUUGGAAGUAGAUUGGUGUGUUGACUGGACUGGCAUUCAUAUAUCGAGAGAAGAUUGUUCGGACACGAUCAUGUGGAUGGAUGGAUGGUGUUCAAGUGCCUUGCCUCUCCUGUCUUGCCCUUGCCUUGGGCCUUGGCGUGCUCGCAUUUUCCGUUACUUCCUUUUUUAUACUCUGUUUCGAUUUUGAGCCGGGACAUUAUCUUCUUCACCUGUUGAUUUGUUCUGUUGCUUUGCGCCUCCGUGCUCUCGCAGAUCCCUUUGGGCUGUUUCACCUCCGCACGACACCAGGAGUGAGCCGAGUUUGGUUUGGCCGGGUUAUUCAGUUUAUUCUUUAUUAUGCAAUUCUAGUUUUUGAGUCUAUUUUGUAGUCCUCGACUUCCCAAUGUGUGGGUUGCAGGAUUGGGUCCGAUCAGUGGAGAAUUCAUCAUGAUGACAUGUUGCGAGGAGAUGGAGGCAGGUCAGUCUUCUGUCAGAUCCGGCGGUUCAUUGAUUUUGUCGAUUGGACAUGGAUUGGUGGUUUCAGGCUCAAAUGUCUCCGGGUGUGGUACCACCAGAACCUUCGAUCCAUUCUUACUUUAACGGCAGAGAAGAAAGGGUCCUUGCUGGUUACAGGGAGAGGGGCAACCGAGUUUUGGAAGUAGAUUGAGGCAUUGAUUGGACCGCAAUAUUAUAUGGAUGAAUGGAUGGGUUGGAGGCGAGUUUGAUCGAUCUGGCUUACGCUUGUGCAAUCAGAAGUUCGGAAAUGUUCAGAGUUCCUUGUGUUUGUUCACUAACCACCCCCUCUCCUGUCAUUUUUCUUUGAAAAUUGGCAUUAUAAUCUUGAUUACCCUUCAUUGGAAAUGCUGCUUACCGGAUCUGUAAGGGCAAGAAGUAGAUUUGAGGCGUUGACUGGACUGAUGCCCAUAGUACCGGGUGAAGAUUGUCAGGAUAUAUCUACCUAAAUCGCUCUUCUAUUGGUUUAUACACAUUUCUGUCCGCUGCAAUUCUUAAAUGUUUUAAAUUGGGGCUGGUUGUUUUCUCCAGCAUCUCCUGCAAUCAGAAGUUCUGAACUGUUCAGAGUUCCUUGUUUGUUCACUAACCAUCCUUUGUCAAUCUUCUUUGAAAAUUAGCUUUCCUCAUAGGCUUCCAUUUGUUAGUAAAUCUGCGCACUUUUAGGAGACUCGGAGUUCGUCCUAGAUGCAAAAGUACCUGGCUGGUUAUGGAGAGGUCAGCUGAAGGCUGGAGGUUUGACUUUGUUUUUGAUAUGUCAAUCACUGGUGGGUGAAGAUUGCCACCGGAUUAAUUUGAAGCUUGAUCGCCCUUAAUUAGAAAAAUGUUAUUAGCUGGAUCAGGUGGUGUUUUGGAGGUAGAUUUAAACAUUUUGGAGGUGUUUUUGAAGUUUAUUGCAUCUGGAGAACAUCGUUUGGCUCUACCUCUCUUUUAUUGGUACUCUUAAAUUUCUUGUUCCUUACAUUUGGGAUGGUGAUUCUCUACUUGUACAGCAACUGGAUUGUAUGGACGGAGGAGCCUGAAUUAGAUUCUGUUUCUGCAUGAGCAAUAAGUUAUAAACUGUUCAGGAUUCCCUUGGUUUGCUGUCAAGGUUGUUCGAAACUUUUGCUGUCAAUGGUCUUAAAAAUUUACUUCCCUCGUAGGCUUUUGAUGUUCUGGUACUGGAUGUGCAGUUUUGGGAGGCAUUGCUACAGAGAUAUGACUUCCAGCUGAAAUUGUUGCCCAUUGAUACACGCUUUAUCCUGUUCCUAUGAUAUUUGAUGAAUGUUCAUGCUGUUUGUGUUCUCAGUUGUCACUAUCAAAUAGGUAGUUAUCCGAGGGUGGUCUCAUUGAUUGCAGAUCUCUAGGUGAUAACUGGGUCUUACUGAUAUUUUUUUUUGCUUGGGCUUGUCAUCGUGGAUUAUGUGUUGGAGGUACUAACUUAUUCUUGUAUAUGAACCAUGAUACUUGUGAGACUGCUUCGAACCUGUUACAUGGUGACUUGAGAGCUAUUGUACCAGCCCUGCUUCAAACUCGUGACAUGGUGACUUGAGACCUCUCUCGCAUUUGUACCAGGCCAGUCCUUUAUGAACCAGAAUACUACGUUAAUAUUCAGAUACUUCUAAUUUAAUCUGCAGUGGUAGAAGGUAAUGAUCAUGUUUUAACUUCAGAGAUUCAACUGGAGAUCGCUAGAACUACAGUACUACAACUUACAUUUAAUCAAGCUUGUUUCUGCUUUAUCAUGCUAUGCUCUGACUGAAGCAUUAAUUCUUGUGCUGCUGGUAUUCUGUGUUCUGCAGACCAUUUAGCUCAAAUAAUUGGUAGUUCAACUGUCAUAAUGUUCGGUUUGGGAUUUCUAUCUGUGGAUGCUUCGUCUGGCUUAUCUAUGCUUUUAGGUGCUUCAUCUGGCUUAUCUAUGUUUUUGCGCUCUCGCUGUUGCAUGUGUUGCAGGAUGUUGACAAUUGGAAAUCCAUGUAGCAAAUAAAUGAUUUUGGAACUGGGGGCAGUAAAGCAAGGUUUGAGACCUGGAUUUAUUGGGUACUGUAGACAUUGGAGGUGGAUUUUCCUCAAUUGGAGAUAUUGGCAAAUUGGAAAAAAUUGUGACUUGACCUGUGCUGCAAAAACCUUUAAACAAGGAGGCUUCUAAUUCAUCUCUAUGAACAGUCCUCUCCAGUUACUUUUUGAACCAGUAACUUUUUCAAGUUUGUGCAGAUGCACACAGAAGCUGAGAGAGAAUUUCCAACAAUUGUUGUCUCCAGAGUCCAUCCUUGUUCCACUGGCCAUUUGGUUCGCCUUGGAUUUGAAGGUUCAUUAAGUCUAUCUAUCCUUGAACCAAAAUAGAAAAAAAAUCAUAGAAGAGUUCUUUGGUAAAUAUAAAUUGUGCACUAAUAAUUUUGCAAGUUGCAUCUAUGGAUACCUUCACUUUUGGUAUCCAGAGAAAACCUGUGCAUUAAAUGUGAAGCUUGAUGACUUGGACUGACCUGUUGUUUGCAUGCUCUGCGGUAGUUAGAUGAUUCACAUGAUCACAACCACGGCGAUGCUGUGCAGAGUUUGCUCUAACUACUCUAACUAUUGACUGCACAUCACCUUCCGGCUCACUUGUUUGAGACACAUCUUAUAAUAUUCUUCAAUCUAACCAGAGCUCACCUAAUACUUCUGCUCAUAUCAGCCAUUUUUUUGGAUCCAGAUGUCUGAUAAGUUGAUGGAUGUUUGGUUGGAUUUCUGCAGUUGGAGCUAAGGUGUGGAUUGCUAGUUAGACAUUCUGAGUUCUAGACAUUUCCAUCUAUGGAGUCUUCCUUCCAGUGAUAAAUUAUUCUAUGCACUAACUUUAUUUUUAAGCUGUCUUUAACCUAUAUGCCAUCAUACGAUGGUGCAGGUUCACUAUUAUUCUUGAUUUAAGAUUUUUAAAACAAUUGGUUCCUAGUAGGAUGUUUUACCUGAGCGUAUGACCGUAUGUUCAUAUUUUAUAGUCCAAAAUUCUCGAUUUCUCUGUUAGGGCCCAUACUAAUGUUAGUCUAGUUCUUGGAUUGCUUCUGAUUGUACUUUGGUAUAACCCCCUUACUCAAUAUGGCCAUUCUUUAUCAAAUUCAUCAUAUUGCACAGUUCCUUUCAGUAAUAUAUUAGGCAUUAGAUAUUAUUAUCAGCAAAUGCUACUUGCUAACCGUAUUCCUUUUUGAGUUGUAAUAUGUGAAAUCUGAGAGAUCGAUCUUGUGGCACCGUUAGUUUUGUUGGUUAUCAUUAGAUUGAUUGCCUGGAACAAAUGGAACACCUCCUCAGUCUGGUUUGUGACGUUGGCCCCCUUGCCUUUUUAGAACAUUGUUCAUUUGUUCUGUAAUUUCCUCACUCUGGACUUUCCAUCUGACGCAUCUUAUCCUUUGUGGAACAAUAACCAAGAAAGAUUCUGCUGCUUCUGUUCCUGCCAAAAGUAAAUCUGUCUGAACAAACUUGUUUGGCUGAACUAUUGUUGCCCUUGAUUACAUAUGUGACUGUCUUGGGGAUGCAACUGUGGAGUCUUUGAGAUGGAACUGUCCUUUGUGGAACAAUAACCAAGAAAGAUUCUGCUUCUUCUGUUCCUGCCAAAAGUAUAUCUGUCACAAACUUGUUUGGCUGAACUAUUGUUGCCCUUGAAUACACAAGCCUAUGUGACUGUCUUGGGGAUGCAACUGUGGAGUCCUUGAGAUGAAACUGGAUUUACACAAAAGUAAAUCCUUUGUGGACUAGCAGUAGUUGCAUAUACAUGGAUGGGUUGAAGUUUAGCCAUCCUGGUUCAUAUUCAUGUAGUGCAGUUCAUAUUCAUGUUGAUAUGCAAUACAGGAUCUUGAACAAUAAUUUUAUUGGAGCUGGUUGUUGUGGCAAUGGAGCAUCUUCUACCUAGGCCAAAUGAGAUGGAGUCUGUGGCAUGUUUUGGUUUGAGUCCGGUCAUUCCAUGAUUUUUAUUGGAGCUGGUCUUGUGGCAAUUGAGCAUCUUGAGCCUAGGCCAAUCUAGAUGGAGGACUCCUAGUUUUAUUGGCGAAGAUGUUUUUGUGGAGUCCGAUCGUUCCAUGAUUUUUAUUGGAGCUGGUCUUUGGCAAUUGAUGAGCAUCUUCUUCCUUGGCCAAAUUGGAUGGACUCUAGUUUUGGUUUGAGUCCGACCAUAGAAUGAUUUUUAUUGGAGCUGGUUCUUGUGGCACUUGGGCAUCUUCUCCCUUGGCCAAAUAGGUGGACUCACUAAUUUUGUUGGACGAGAUUAACUGUGGAAGGUUUCGAUGUUUUACAAUUGGAACACAUUCACUGUUCAUUCCUGAGUAUUUAAACGCGAUACUUCAGAUACCUUCUCGUACUAGGUUUACUUAUUGAUCAUAAAAAAAUUCCUGUUUUUUUACGUAGCGUCUUUGUUGCUUCUCUGUUGUUUUACACAUGUGCUCUGCUGCUUUGUAUUUUACUGCUUCUUUGUUGUUUUACACAUGUGCUCUGCUUCUUUGUUAUUUUACACGUGUGCUCGAUGUUCAUCCAUAAAAUAUGCUAAAAGAAUAGCUACUUCGUUUGGCGCAAAAACCAGUUACGUGUUUUGUUUAUUUUUAUAAUGUCUGAGAACAUGAUUUUUUUUUUGUUGUAUUAUUUGUGUUCCCUGUUUGUUUGUUUGUUUGCGGUUUAACACUGCCUUUGCCGGUCCCAAGCCCGGAUGCGAAAAUGUGGAGGGAACUGCAGGUUGCUUGGCGAACCGUUCAGGUUUAGUGUUGAGACUUCCUUUUAAGACAUGCUGUGCCACUGAAUGAACGCAUCAUAAUGAACUUGGACAAUUGUCAGGCGCGCAGCAAGUUGCUUACCUGAACCCGUUUCAUCUAUUGAGAUGUGGGAAUUAAAGUUUGAGCCACAGGCACCGGCUGACAGACUUAUCAUGAAAGCGUCUUCGAAAUGGACACCUAACGCGCGUUAAUAUUGUUUAUCUUAAAUUAGCGUACCUCAACGUUAUCGUGGAGAUAAACCAGCAUAUCAAUAGCAGUAUCUAUCCAGCUCCUUUUUUUACGCUACCUGGACGUUUUUAGCUAAUUUUAUCAGACCUAGCAGUAAUCACAGAGCUGUCAAACAAAACUGUCAAACAGAGCAGAAAGAUGAAGUUUUCUGAAACUGAGGAAAUAACCAUACCCUAAAGUUCGCUGCUCGCAGCGUCGGCAUGGUGUGCUUCAUUGAUAAUGUGUGUUCAGACGGGAGAAGGAGAGAAAGCGUGGGGCACGUCACACGUAGG